CCUACGGGAGGCAGCAGUGGGGAAUAUUGCGCAAUGGGCGAAAGCCUGACGCAGCGACGCCGCGUGAGGGAUGAAGGCCUUCGGGUCGUAAACCUCUUUCAGCAGGGAAGAAGCGCAAGUGACGGUACUUGCAGAAGAAGCACCGGCUAACUACGUGCCAGCAGCCGCGGUAAUACGUAGGGUGCAAGCGUUGUCCGGAAUUAUUGGGCGUAAAGAGCUCGUAGGCGGUCUGUCGCGUCUGCUGUGAAAACCUAGGGCUUAACUCUGGGCGUGCAGUGGGUACGGGCAGACUAGAGUGCGGUAGGGGAGACUGGAAUUCCUGGUGUAGCGGUGAAAUGCGCAGAUAUCAGGAGGAACACCGGUGGCGAAGGCGGGUCUCUGGGCCGUAACUGACGCUGAGGAGCGAAAGCAUGGGGAGCGAACAGGAUUAGAUACCCUGGUAGUCCAUGCCGUAAACGUUGGGCGCUAGGUGUGGGGUCCAUUCCACGGAUUCUGCGCCGCAGCUACGCAUAGCGCCCGCCGUCGGGAGGUACGGCCGGCCGACGGAACGUAAACGUUAAAGGUUAAAGUUAGUACGGCGUUGAGACGUUGCCGACGGACGACGACGAGGGAGGAGG
rnacentral:rRNA from 1 species